CCUACGGGAGGCUGCAGUGGGGAAUAUUGGACAAUGGGGGCAACCCUGAUCCAGCCAUGCCGCGUGUGUGAAGAAGGCUCUCGGGUUGUAAAGCACUUUCAGUGAGGAAGAACGCCUGGUGGUUAAUACCCAUCAGGAAAGACAUCACUCACAGAAGAAGCACCGGCUAACUCCGUGCCAGCAGCCGCGGUAAUACGGAGGGUGCGAGCGUUAAUCGGAAUUACUGGGCGUAAAGCGCGCGUAGGUGGCUUGAUAAGCCGGUUGUGAAAGCCCCGGGCUCAACCUGGGAACGGCAUCCGGAACUGUCAAGCUAGAGUGCAGGAGAGGAAGGUAGAAUUCCCGGUGUAGCGGUGAAAUGCGUAGAGAUCGGGAGGAAUACCAGUGGCGAAGGCGGCCUUCUGGACUGACACUGACACUGAGGUGCGAAAGCGUGGGUAGCAAACAGGAUUAGAUACCCUGGUAGUC
rnacentral:rRNA from 1 species